AUGUUGUUUUCAUGGGAGGAGCGGUGCUGUUCAUGUAGUUCUCCCUCAAUCGUUCUCUCGGAUGUGAUGAAGGGCAUCUUUGAUGAGAAGGGUAAAUUGCUCGGUUCGGCGAGCAGCCCGAUACAGAUAUGGAAAGAGAAAGAUUGCAUCGAGCAAUCUUCGACGGAUAUCUGGCUCGCGGUGUGCACUGCUGUAAAAUCUGCAUGCUCGCUUGCAAAUGUCGCAGCUGAGGAUGUUGUUGGCCUCGGAUUCGCUGCUACUUGCUCCCUUGUUGCUGUUGAUACUGAUGGUUCCCCUGUUUCGGUUUCUUGGAGUGGUGAUGCAAGAAGGAACAUCAUCGUGUGGAUGGACCAUAGGGCUGUUGACCAGGCUGAUCGAAUUAACGCUCGCAAUUCACCUGUAUUGCAGUACUGUGGCGGGGGCGUCUCUCCAGAAAUGCAAGCUCCAAAGCUUUUGUGGGUAAAGGAAAAUCUGCAAGAGUCCUGGUCCAUGGCAUGUAGGUGGAUGGACCUUAGUGACUGGUUAGCAUAUAGGGCAACUGGUGAUGACACCCGCAGCUUAUGCACAACUGUUUGCAAAUGGACAUAUCUUGGACAUGCACACAUGGGCCAGUGGAGGGAAUUAGAUUCGCGUGAUAUGGAAGCAUGUGGAUGGGAUGAGGUCUUUUGGGAAGAAAUAGGCUUGGGAGACCUUGUUGAAGGGAAUCGUGCAAAAAUAGGACGCAGUGUUGCAUUUCCAGGCCAUCCUCUAGGUUCUGGUUUGACACCUACUUCUGCAAAGGAGUUAGGCUUGCUUCCUGGGACACCUGUUGGAACUUCGCUUAUUGAUGCUCAUGCCGGUGGCGUUGGAGUAAUGGAAAGUGUGCCAGAGGCAGAAUCUAAAGCCGACUUAUCUGAUGAAGAAGCGAUCUGCCGCCGCAUGGUCUUGGUCUGUGGGACAUCCACAUGCCACAUGGCUGUUUCAAAGAACAAAUUAUUUAUUCCUGGUGUCUGGGGGCCAUUUUGGUCUGCGAUGAUUCCUGAGUAUUGGCUCACAGAAGGUGGUCAAAGCGCAACUGGUGCUCUACUUGAUUACAUUGUCGAAAACCAUGCUGCUGCUCCCCUUCUGGCUAAUCAUGCUGCUUCUCAGAGUGUAUCCAUAUUUGAGUUGUUGAACAAGAUAUUGCUUUUGAUGGCACAUGAACAAAAUAUUCCCUUUCUAUCUGCCUUGAGUCAAGAUACGCAUGUCCUUCCAGAUUUUCAUGGAAAUCGGUCCCCUGUUGCUGAUCCAAAAUCCAAAGGAGUGAUUUGUGGCUUGACACUUGAUACAAGUGAAAAGCAUUUAGCGCUUUUGUACCUAGCAACAAUUCAGGGUAUUGCGUAUGGAACUCGUCAUAUUGUGGAGCAUUGCAAUGCUCAUGGACACAAGAUCGACACCCUUCUUGCCUGUGGCGGACUUGCAAAGAACUCCUUGUAUGUCCAAGAGCAUGCAGAUAUCAUCGGAUGUCCAAUAAUACUUCCUAGAGAGAAUGAGUCUGUGCUUUUAGGUGCUUCUGUUCUGGGUGCUGUUGCUGCAAAGAAAUUUUCUGGUAUUCACGAUGCAAUGAAGUCAAUGAAUGCAGCUGGAAAGGUUGUGCAUCCAUCUUCGGAUCCCAGGGUGAAGAAAUACCACGAUGCCAAAUAUCAGAUAUUCAGAUCCCUGUAUGAGCAACAGCUCUCUCAUCGCUCAGCCAUGGCGCAAGCAUUGCAGUAG
rnacentral:rRNA from 1 species